rnacentral:tRNA from 1 species
GGAGGGUGUAGCUCAGUGGUAGAGCACAUGCUUAGCAUGCAUGAGGUCCUGGGUUCAAUCCCCAGUACCUCCA